rnacentral:rRNA from 1 species
CAUGGAGGGUGAGAAUCCCGUUCGGUUGAUCAGACCUUCUUUACGAUACGUCAUCAAAGAGUCAAGUUGUUUGGGAUUGCAGCUUAAAAUGGGAGGUAAAUUUCUCCUAAGGCUAAAUAACGGCGAGAGACCGAUAGCGAACAAGUACCGUGAGGGAAAGAUGAGAAGAACUUUGAAAAGAGAGUUAAACAGUACGUGAAAUUGUUGAAAGGGAAACGAUUGAAGCCAGUCGUACCGGCGGGUAAUCAGCCUUUUGGGUGUGAUUAUGUGGAGUGUGAGGAGUUAAUCACCCUCAUCUUUGCAUAUUCGUGCACUUUGGGUGUACUUGCUCGUGUGGUAGGUUAACAUCAAUUUUGAUCGUCAUAAAAUGAUUGAAGGAAUGUAGCUUCGAUCUUGUAUUGAAGUGUUAUAGCCUUCGGUAGAUGUGAUGAUUGGGAUUGAGGAUUGCAACGGAUACCCUUCGGGGCUACCUGCCUGAUCUCUGAAAGUUGCUCUGGUGCCGAAAGCUUGCUUACGGUAUCAAAGUUGACGUUCAACAGGUUAGAACGGGAUAAAUUCGUUAAGGAUGUUGACGUAAUG